rnacentral:rRNA from 1 species
UACGGAAGGCAGCAGCGGGGAAUAUUGCACAAUGGGCGCAAGCCUGAUGCAGCCAUGCCGCGUGUAUGAAGAAGGCCUUCGGGUUGUAAAGUACUUUCAGUCGUGAGGAAGGUGUUAAGGUUAAUAACCUUAGCAAUUGACGUUAGCGACAGAAGAAGCACCGGCUAACUCCGUGCCAGCAGCCGCGGUAAUACGGAGGGUGCGAGCGUUAAUCGGAAUUACUGGGCGUAAAGGGCACGCAGGCGGUUAAUUAAGUUGGAUGUGAAAUCCCCGGGCUUAACCUGGGAAUGGCAUUCAAGACUGGUUAGCUAGAGUCUUGUAGAGGGGGUAGAAUUCCAUGUGUAGCGGUGAAAUGCGUAGAGAUGUGGAGGAAUACCGGUGGCGAAGGCGGCCCCUGGACAAAGACUGACGCUCAUGUGCGAAAGCGUGGGGAGCAAACGAGGGAUUAGAUA